AGAGCUUCAGUCUCCUUUAUUCACUGCUGUGUGCCUAGGAGAGUGCUGGAUUCAUAAAUGUAUGUUAAAGAAGAAAAGAAAGCAAGAAGGAAGGAACGGAUUCUAAAUCUAGCCCUGCAUUCUGACAACAUCCUUGAUUUUCACGAACCAAAAAUGAAAUUACAAAGUCUUUGUUGUCAUAAGAAGAGGCAAUCAAAGAGCAUGAAGCCAUAAAAGCAUUGCUGUGUUCAAGAGAGGGAUCAUGCAGGCAUGCUUGAACCAAAAACGUAAAAAGGCAGC